UACGUAGGGUCCGAGCGUUGUCCGGAAUUAUUGGGCGUAAAGAGCUCGUAGGCGGUCUGUCGCGUCUGCUGUGAAAACUCGGGGCUUAACCCCGGGCCUGCAGUGGGUACGGGCAGACUAGAGUGCGGUAGGGGGAGACUGGAAUUCCUGGUGUAGCGGUGAAAUGCGCAGAUAUCAGGAGGAACACCGGUGGCGAAGGCGGGUCUCUGGGCCGUAACUGACGCUGAGGAGCGAAAGCAUGGGGAGCAACGG
rnacentral:rRNA from 1 species